rnacentral:rRNA from 1 species
UACAGGGGGAGCAAGCGUUGUUCGGAUUUACUGGGCGUAAAGGGCGCGUAGGCGGCCUGUGCAAGUCAGUUGUGAAAUCUCCGAGCUUAACUCGGAACGGUCAACUGAUACUGCUCGGCUAGAGUGCGGAAGGGGCAACUGGAAUUCUUGGUGUAGCGGUGAAAUGCGUAGAUAUCAAGAGGAACACCUGCGGCGAAGGCGGGUUGCUGGGCCGACACUGACGCUGAGGCGCGAAAGCUAGGGGAGCGAACGGG